GUUUUUACCCUACCCGUUGUGGGUAUUUUUUUAGGGUACCUAUUGGAUAUGAGUCAAAUCGUCAUCCCUAAUUAGAAUAUAAUACACCUAACUAACACUAACAAGUUUGAUGGUAUCAUUUCAAGUAGUAUUGCCAUAUAACAGCAAUUCCUGCAACCAAUAGUACUUUAAGAAACAAUUUUGGAGUAAUGAAGGAUGAUGAUGAUGAUGAUGGUUGUUGUGGUUGAGUGGACUCUGAUGAUCUUCCCCUGAAUUUAUCUAGUAUUCGACGAAGGAUCACGGCCUUGUUUGCAUCUACAAGCAGAAAAAUACC
rnacentral:lncRNA from 1 species